rnacentral:rRNA from 1 species
AGUGAACGCUGGCGGUAGGCCUAACACAUGCAAGUCGAACGGCAGCACAGUAAGAGCUUGCUCUUACGGGUGGCGAGUGGCGGACGGGUGAGGAAUACAUCGGAAUCUACUUUUUCGUGGGGGAUAACGCAGGGAAACUUACGCUAAUACCGCAUACGACCUACGGGUGAAAGCAGGGGAUCUUCGGACCUUGCGCGAUUGAAUGAGCCGAUGUCGGAUUAGCUAGUUGGCGGGGUAAAGGCCCACCAAGGCGACGAUCCGUAGCUGGUCUGAGAGGAUGAUCGGCCACACUGGAGCUGAGACACGGUCCAGACUCCUACGGGAGGCAGCAGUGGGGAAUAUUGGACAAUGGGCGCAAGCCUGAUCCAGCCAUACCGCGUGGGUGAAGAAGGCCUUCGGGUUGUAAAGCCCUUUUGUUGGGAAAGAAAAGCAGCAGGUUAAUACCCCGCUGUUCUGACGGUACCCAAAGAAUAAGCACCGGCUAACUUCGUG